CUAAAAUGAACCGAUUAAUCAGUUCAAAAUGAAGAUUGAACGGUGGGAAAACUAGAUUGUUCAGUGGAAAGUGGUUUAAUCGAUAGAAAAUGGAAAACAAUCGGUGGAAAGUACCUAGAUGAUGAAAGAACCCUAGGUUGAGGAAGUUAAUCGGUGAAAAUGGCGGGAAGGGAUUGGAAACCCUAGAAGAAGAUGCAGUUGGGUGAUGAGCGAAGAAAAAUUACCUUUGCAUACGCAAAUAGAGAAGCUGGCUCGCGAGAGAAAAUGUUGCGGGAGAGGAAAGUGAUGCGUGACAAUGAAUGUGAAAUGAAGACAUAAUAAACAUGACUGAAGAUGAUGAUGUGCACUGAAGGAGGAAAUGGAGAGUGCUGACGCAUGCGCUAAAGAGGUUAUAGUUGUUAAGCCGCUGGCAAGUGUACCAGAUCGUUAUCAAGUAAUAUAAUUGGUAAACCCAAAGGACUCAAAGGCCUAAUCUUUCGUGGAACUCAAUUGCUUAAGACUUGAGAAAAGAAUUAAAUUUAAGUGUUGAAUGCAAAGAAAAAAAACUAAUCAUGCAAAUGCAAAUUAUUCAAUUGGCAAGGAAAAACUAUGGAUGAAUGGUGUUGUUGGGGUUUAAAAUUUCAUCUUAUCCGCUCUCACAUAUCUACUCUUCUUAUUUACUUCACUUAUUUAUCCAAUUGCCAUGCAAACUUUCUAGCCUACCCUUAGCCCAAUCCCUUGGUGAAAAGAGCCUAUUAUUAAUUACCGACUUGCUAUCCCUAGCCUCCCCUAGUAACCAAUAAUGCAAUGUGAACGAAAGCAAAAUACAAUUGAUC
rnacentral:lncRNA from 1 species